AGACCUUCCCACUUUUUAGCUCACUUAACUGGAAAUGGUCAAGAAUACAAGAUGUUCUGUUGCUAUAUUCCUACUUUCUGGUGCUCUGGGCUCAGGAGAGUCUAGAGUGUGAGAUUUUCACGUCGCUAUCUAUGUCAGCUUGGCCCUCUACUCUGAAACUUCUGGUCAUGUGGCGGGAGACACCAACAGGGGAAUGAGAUCAACCACCAGAAGAAGAAUAAGCUACAUCCUGUCCUGCCAGCUGGAGCCCUGAUCUGAGCUGGCCAGCAGAACUCCAGAACAGGAAGAACUGGCCACAGUCAACCUCAGGGCUGAGCCAGUGUCCAGUGGCAACACAACGUGCAGGGGACCCAUCUGCUCAACACCUCUUCCUCCCAUCUCUUUACUUAUUUGGAGGGCCAAUAUUUCAUUGUCUGAAAUCGGAAAUGGUACAUUUUAAUAUUAUUAUAUUAA